GAAAUGCGAUAAGUAAUGUGAAUUGCAGAAUUCAGUGAAUCAUCGAAUCUUUGAACGCACCUUGCGCUCCUUGGUAUUCCUUGGAGCAUGCCUGUUUGAGUAUCAUGAAAUCUUCAAAGUAAAUCUUUUGUUAACUCAAUUGGUUUCUACUUUGGUAUUGGAGGUCUUUGCAGCUUCACACCUGCUCCUCUUUGUUCAUUAGCUGGAUCUCAGUGUUAUGCUUGGUUCCACUCGGCGUGAUAAGUUAUCUAUCGCUGAGGACACUGUAAAAGGUGGCCAAGGUAAAUGCAGAUGAUCCGCUUCUAAUAGUCCAUUGACUUGGACAAUACUUUUAUGAUCUGAUCUCACAUCAGGUAGGACUACCCGCUGAACUUAAGC
rnacentral:misc_RNA from 1 species